AGAGUUUGAUCCUGGCUCAGGAUGAACGCUGGCGGUCUGCUUAACACAUGCAAGUCGAACGGAACUCUUCGGAGUUCAGUGGCGGACGGGUGAGUAACGCGUGAGAAUCUGCCUUUUGGUCGGGGACAACCACUGGAAACGGUGGCUAAUACCGGAUAAGCCUGCGGGUAAAAGAUUAAUUGCCAAGAGAGGAGCUCGCGUCUGAUUAGCUAGUUGGUGAGGUAAAGGCUCACCAAGGCGGCGAUCAGUAGCUGGUCUGAGAGGAUGAUCAGCCACACUGGGACUGAGACACGGCCCAGACUCCUACGGGAGGCAGCAGUGGGGAAUUUUCCGCAAUGGGCGAAAGCCUGACGGAGCAAGACCGCGUGAGGGAGGAAGGCUCUUGGGUUGUAAACCUCUUUUGUCAGGGAAGAACACAAUGACGGUACCUGAAGAAUCAGCAUCGGCUAACUCCGUGCCAGCAGCCGCGGUAAUACGGAGGAUGCAAGCGUUAUCCGGAAUUAUUGGGCGUAAAGCGUCCGCAGGUGGCACUUCAAGUCUGCUGUCAAAGACCGGGGCUUAACCCUGGAAAGGCAGUGGAAACUGAAGCGCUAGAGUGUGGCAGGGGUAGAGGGAAUUCCCGGUGUAGCGGUGAAAUGCGUAGAGAUCGGGAAGAACAUCGGUGGCGAAAGCGCUCUACUGGGCCACAACUGACACUCAGGGACGAAAGCUAGGGGAGCGAAUGGGAUUAGAUACCCCAGUAGUCC
rnacentral:rRNA from 1 species